CCCGGGGAACAUUCUGGGGACACUUUUAAUUCAGACCUCACAAGGGUUUAGACCAGCUGACGUUUCCCCUUGAAGAGUCCCCAGUUCAGUUUCCAACCAAAAUAACCUGGUUUUGCCAUUUCCUUAUCAACACUGAGCCCCCACCAAAACAACAAGAAAUGAAAGUCACAAAAAGCUCAGCAGCCAGAGGCAAAAACAUUUAAACUUUUAUUCCAUUUCCUUUACAAACCCACCUGGGGAUGUCCCAAACCCGCCUGGGGAUAUUCAGGAUUCCAAGGUUGGAAUUCUACAACUCAAACUCAACCCCCUGCUCUUCACACCCAGCAGUAAAUCCCACAGGGUCCAGCUGCCUUUGGGAUCCUCCCUUUUUUCCACAGAAUUCUCUGCCUUUUUUCCACAGAAUUCUCUCCCUUUUUUCCACAGAAUUCUCUGCCUUUUUUCCACAGAAUUCUCUGCCUUUUUUCCACAGAAUUAUCUCCCUUUUUUCCACAGAAUUCUCUCCUUUUUUUCCACAGAAUUCUCUGCCUUUUUUCCCACAGGAUCCUCUUGCUUUUUUUCCACAGGAUACUCUCCCUUUUUCCAUGGGUUUCUCUCCUUUUUUUUCCCAUGGGUUUCUCUCCCUUUUUCCUGAAGGAUUCUCUCCCUUUUUCCCCACAAUUCUCUCCCCUUUUCCCAUGGGUUUCUCUCCCUUUUCCCCAGAGGUUUCUCUCCCUUUUUUCCACAAAAUUCUCUCCCUUUUUUCCAUGGGUUUCUCUCCCUUUUUAUCACAGGAUUCUCUCCCCUUUUCCCAUGGUUUCUCUCCCUUUUUUUCCACAGGAUUCUCUCCCUUUUUUUCCAUGGGUUUCUCUCCCUUUUUAUCACAGGAUUCUCUCCCCUUUUCCCAUGGUUUCUCUCCCUUUUUUUCCAUAGGAUUCUCUCCCUUUUUUUCCAUGGGUUUCUCUCCCUUUUUUCCAUGGGUUCCUCUCCCUUUUUCCCCACAAAAUUCUUUCCCUUUUUCCAAUGGGUUUCUCUCCCUUUUUCCCAGAGGUUUCUCUCCCUUUUUCCCAUGGGUUUCUCUCCCUUUUUUUCAUGGGUUCCUCUCCCUUUUUCCCCACAAAAUUCUUUCCCUUUUUCCAUGGGUUUCUCUCCCUUUUUUUUCCCACAGAAUUGUCUCCCUUUCCCUCACAGAAUUCUCUCCCUUUUUUCCGUGUGUUUCUCUCCCUUUAUAUCACAGAAUUCUCUCCCUUUUUUCCACAGGAUCCUCUCCUUUUUUUCCACGCUUCUCCCAUCCCACCCCUCCACCCCCUGAAGACAAGAGCCAGUGGAUUU
rnacentral:lncRNA from 1 species